rnacentral:lncRNA from 1 species
ACGGCCGGCUGGGCGAGCGACCCAUGGCGUCCAUGGUGCUCGGCCUGGUGCUCGCCCUGGACCUCCUCGCCUUCGUCCUCGCCAUCGCCGGAGAGCUGCCCCGGAGAACGGUAAGCAAGUACUCCUGUAUAUGUACGUACAUAUGCUUAACAUUAGGAUUUUCUGAUUGGGGAAAGUGCAGGCGUACGUGAACGUGUUGGUGUUCGACGACGAACCCGAGAGGCCCUUCUGCCUGUACGGACACGAGACGGACGCGUCGGCGUGGUACGGCCCCGGCG